rnacentral:rRNA from 1 species
GCACAAGCGGUGGAGCAUGUGGUUAAUUCGAAGCAACGCGAAGAACCUUACCAGGCCUUGACAUGCAGAGAACUUUCCAGAGAUGGAUUGGUGCCUUCGGGAACUCUGACACAGGUGCUGCAUGGCUGUCGUCAGCUCGUGUUGUGAGAUGUUGGGUUAAGUCCCGUAACGAGCGCAACCCUUGUCCUUAGUUACCAGCACGUUAUGGUGGGCACUCUAAGGAGACUGCCGGUGACAAACCGGAGGAAGGUGGGGAUGACGUCAAGUCAUCAUGGCCCUUACGGCCUGGGCUACACACGUGCUACAAUGGUCGGUACAAAGGGUUGCCAAGCCGCGAGGUGGAGCUAAUCCCAUAAAACCGAUCGUAGUCCGGAUCGCAGUCUGCAACUCGACUGCGUGAAGUCGGAAUCGCUAGUAAUCGUGAAUCAGAAUGUCACGGUGAAUACGUUCCCGGGCCUU